AAGGAUUUGGCUCAGGAUUGCCCAUUUUAAAUUCCAGGGUUUCUCUGAAUUUGGAAGUUACCA
rnacentral:tRNA from 2 species